rnacentral:misc_RNA from 1 species
GUGAGUCAUCGAAUCUUUGAACGCACAUUGCGCCCGUCAGUAUUCUGGCGGGCAUGCCUGUUCGAGCGUCAUUACGCCCCUCAAGUCCCCUGUGGACUUGGUGUUGGGGAUCGGCGAGGCUGGUUUUCCAGCACAGCCGUCCCUUAAAUUAAUUGGCGGUCUCGCCGUGGCCCUCCUCUGCGCAGUAGUAAAACACUCGCAACAGGAGCCCGGCGCGGUCCACUGCCGUAAAACCCCCCAACUUUUUAUAGUUGACCUCGAAUCAGGUAGGACUACCCGCUGAACUUAAGCAUAUCAAUAAGCGGAGGA